ensembl:lncRNA
GUUAGAAAAUUGACUCCGCUCUGCUUUUCUCUGCCUUCCAGCCUGCUGCUUAUUAAUUGCUUCCUGAAUUUUCUGCUUGAUACCUUUUUACUGCUUAACACUUCUUUUACUUUCAAGAUGCUCUCUGUCUUUUACUUUCUUUCUCUGUCCCCAGUAACGUAUACUUCAGGCAGUUUUGGUUUUUGUUCUGAGAACUGUCUACCUUCUCCAGCUUUCUGUUCAGUAUCUGAAGCAUAUCUGUGGUUCCGUUACUGAGCUUCCUUUCUGGGAAGUGCAGGCUCCUUGUACUUUGACUCGGGUCAUUAACAUCUAAGUGGCUUCAUUUUUUCUUGCAAAUUCCCAAAAGGACCCACUUUUAUCCUCUUUUCCUCAGUCCCCACCAGUAGGGCACCCAACAGUGCUAUGCGGUUCAUUCUGUUUGAUGAAAGCCACCACAGAGUUGCUGUUCCUCAGGCAAGAAAUCUUUUGCUGCACUCACAGCUGCGACCUGUGGAGGGUUUGGUAUGUUUUGAAAUGCUCCAAACUGAAAAGCAAGAGUCAGAGUUUUCACCUAGAGCCCCCGAGGAGGGAAUACCCAAGGAGCUGGCACCAGGAAGGAGCAGAGGGCAGAGGUGAGGGAUGCAGCGGGUGUGUGGCACGGGGCACUGAGAAGGGAGCCAGCCAAAAGGUAAGGGCAGCACUGGGAGUGCAUGACUCUUGGUUGGGGGCCUGAGGACAAACACUGCCAGAGCCCCUGUAGUUCAGCACUUUCUUCUGUCAGAAAUACAGCGAUGCAGACUGUGAGCACAGUACAUCCACUUCCACGCAGAGAUUCUAAUUUCUGCAUUUUAUUUCACCAAGUGACUCGAAUUCUACUUCUCUUCCCCCACACACUCCUAUACUAAGCAUAUUAGUACUUAAGGAAAAUUUCUGGGCCACGUGGGUAGCAGCCCCAGUACCCCACAAACACAGAGCGGCUGCCGAGAUCCUGCUUUCUGAGAAGAGCUUACCAGAAUGACCGGAGUUGGGUGAGUAGGCAGAGCCUGGGCUGCUGCAGAGCGCUGCACCCACCUGCGUCCCUGCAAGACGCAGUGACUGCUGCUGUGCUCGGGACGGCCCGUACUCAUGUCGGCGACGGAGAGCACUGCACCCCUGUCAGCCGCGAUGAAAAUGUAAGCUACAGUUUCCUGGAAUAUACUGUAAGUACAACUCGUAUCCCAGUGAGUUUAAAUGAGUAUUCAGUCUUAGCUACAAUAGCCAAUAAAUGCUAAAAUUAACAACAGGUUUGGCCCAGAAAGAAGUCCUAGGGAAGUUAAAAAACCAAACUUGUGCUUAGAAUUUGUAUCUAACCUCUGCACAGAACCAAGGCUGC